UAUAUAAGCAGGUAAAUGGAAAUGGAUUCACCAGCACCAGCCUACUGAUGUGUACAGUGCUGUUGCACAGUUUUAUUUUUUAAUUUUUUCAAAAGUGACCUUAGACAAGAAAGCUUAAUUUGUGCUAAUUUCUACAGAUGAAAUUUAAUCUUGUACAAAAUUGAAUCAAAUUGAAUCAUAGAUCAAAUCGAAUCAGGACCUUUUGAAUCACAUUUGUAUCAGUUAAGUAAAUAGUGAUGAUACCCAGGCCUACUGUUAACCAUUUUAAACCUCUACACAGCAAAAAUGCCAGUGUUGAUUUUUCAGUGUUAGUAGAAUUCAACAGAGUUCCGAGUUAGUUCAACACUUAAUCGAGUUAAAAUAACACAUCGGGAGUUGAUUCCUGAAAAGUGUUGGUGUGGAUUUUAGUCGUUACUGCAUUUUAACACUGUGGGUGUUAAAUUAGACCACACCUUCAUUUCCUGUGGAGCUUCGCAUUUCAGAAUCUUCGGUCGCCAUUUUUUCUUGCUGCUGCGGUAAGUUUUAUUCGGUUAAAUAUUAAGUUUUAGAUUGAUGUUAGAACAAGUAACAUGAUAACUAGUAAAAAAAAUAGUAUUUAUAUCAAAAUACAUCAUCUUUAAGUGUCAUAUUUGAAUUUUAACUGUUUUUUGUUUAGCUGGGCUACUGCUAGCUAGAACUCUGCAAAGUACCAGUUACUUUCCUAAUAUUCAUUUAGCAUAAUCUGGCUAUUGGCAGACUGUAAUGAAUAUUACUUAAUAUAUGUCACAGUUUUUAUUAAAUGCCUUUUAUUUAUUUUUUAAUUAAACUGCCAAAGCCUUAGGGUCAGUGGUCUCAAACUCCCGGCCCAGAGGCCACUUGCGGCCCACGUCACCCCUUCUUGCGGCCUGUAUAUUGAGGUGAAGAAGUAUAAUGCAAUUUGGCCCUUGAAGUGACUUUUUUUUGGUCAUUAGCCAAAAAUGAUUUAAUAUGAAGGCAAUAAGGGCAGAGUGUUACAGGCCCUCAUGGGCAGUGUAGUCCGUGCUGUAGGGAGAACGUUGUGUGUUUGAGCGCGAGUUAGGGAGAAAGUAGGAGCUGUUACCGAGGAGAAAUGGAAGAAGAAAGCAUGUAAAUAUAAUAAUAACCACUGCCGCCAAAAGGAGUGCCUGGUUGUAAGAAAGCUGUUAAGACUCGACUUUACACUGUGUUCGCUGACAGUAAAGCUACAAGCCCGACAACCCGACGUAUUAGCCAGAGGUCUCUUUACCACGGUUCAGAGCCGCGGACCUGGCCGAGGUGGUGAUAUGCUGGUUCCUGACAAGAGAUGAAGAAAUCAAAGUCAGCUUUUCAAGACAGCCCCAAGACUCCUCGCAACCUGUGUUCAAAUGUGAGGCUGUUGUCAGGUGAUGAAUGCAAGGAAGAGGCACUCAACUGACACGAAACAUGUCAAAGACAACAUGAAGGUGACAUUUCAACAUAGGCAAAAAGUGGUUCAAGAACCUGCCACAGCUUCUACUGUCCUGGACCUUUUCCCAAGAGUUCUGUACACCUGGCUUGGUUGACCAAGACUUCACAAUGCUGUUUGUUGGGGAGGAAGUGUCUGCUAAGUUCCUUGCAAAGUGGCCAACCAAGCCAAGGAUCAUCAAAGAUUGCAAAAAUCUGUCUCAGAGUACAGAAUUGGAUGAGCUGCUCAUUUCUGCACAGCGUUACUCUGACGAGGGUGUUUGGGACUGCGAGGCGGCUGCCAGCUUUUGCUGCUUCACUUGUACCUCCAACAUCUAAGGGAGGGAAGUCUUCAAAUAUUAGCACAUCAGAUGCUGCUCACCACCUAAUGAAAUUCAUCAAGGUGGGAGGUAGCACGGAGGCUUUUCUUAAGGCUGGCCCCACUCAGCCAUUCGUCCUGUGUGUUGGAGAAAGAAAGAAUAUCAUCCAGAGUUUCUACAUUGUCCUAGAUCAAAAGGUCAUUCCCUGUGUGACACAGAUGGGAGUUGCAGGUUUUGACAAGGCAAAACUUUUCAAGGCACAUUUUUUAUUUGCCGUGUCCUUUGACAAGGCAUUGAACAACUUCUACACAUUCAUCCAGACCACCGUGUAUGGCAUUGAUGUUGGCAGUGUGAAGGAGAGUCCUCGGGUCAGGGAAACAAGAGGAAGUCUUCAUUGUACAGUUUAAAGAUAUCCACUAUUCAGCACUUUGACUGGAAAUGUUCAUCUGUUACAUUUGCAAGAUACACCACACAAGUUGCUCAGUGUUAUUUAAACAUUUGAAGUUCCAGCAUGGUUUGUACCCAGGAAGGUUUUUACGUUUGACCUGUGGAGAGCCUGGAUGUUCAUUUAUCUUUCGCACGUACUCUGAUUACAAGCGGCACUUACUCCGAGCACAUGGAGACUGUCUUCACUCUGAGGUCAUCAAUACUUUUGAGCCUGUACCUAACGAUGGAACCUCUGUUUCACAGCCUGUAAAUGUGGCUCAUCCCAUGACAAUUGCUACACAGGUUCCAGUUGAAAAAAGGCAAAUACUGAACAUGUGCAGCUCUGUUAUUGCUCAGGUACAAUCAUCAGGAGUUCCUGAAAGUACUGUGCAGUGUUUAGUUGUUUCAUUGGAGGAACUGGUUAAUGACAUCCAUGCACAUGCAAAACAAUCUGUUGUUGACUGUUUGUCAACUGAUACCAUGAUACAGAUAUCAAGUUGGGAUGUAUGUUUGUUCUGGUGUUGAAAAUGAGAUGCCUUUGUUCAGUAAGAUUGUCAAUAUAAUUGUUAGAUUGCAUUGCUUAUCUUCUAACUUGUAAGGCUUCAACAGUAUAUUUCAAUGAUCACUUAAAUGCAUUUGUUAUUGAGGAUGGAUUAGAUGUCUUUGCACUGAUCUCUGUAGAUGAUCUGGUGUACUAUAGACCUUAUGAUAGGCAAUUUUCAAAUGGCACUGAUGACAAAAUGUACAUUGUCCCAUACUGUAAUUUUGUAUAACUUGUUUAUUUGUGGUGUAUCAGAAUACAAAGUAUUUUGGAACGUUAA